UACGGAGGGAGCUAGCGUUGUUCGGAAUUACUGGGCGUAAAGCGCACGUAGGCGGCUUUGACUAGUGUGAAGUCGGAAGCCGGCACACGAUCGAUGCCUUUAAAACUGCAUCGCUAGUCGUAGUGAGAGGUAGUGGAAUUCCGAGUGUAGAGGUGAAAUUCGUAGAUAUUCGGAAGAACACCAGUGGCGAAGGCGGCACUUACGUGGACAC
rnacentral:rRNA from 1 species